GAUGAACGCUGGCGGCGUGCCUAAUACAUGCAAGUCGAGCGAACGGACGAGAAGCUUGCUUCUCUGAUGUUAGCGGCGGACGGGUGAGUAACACGUGGAUAACCUACCUAUAAGACUGGGAUAACUUCGGGAAACCGGAGCUAAUACCGGAUAAUAUUUUGAACCGCAUGGUUCAAAAGUGAAAGACGGUUUUGCUGUCACUUAUAGAUGGAUCCGCGCUGCAUUAGCUAGUUGGUAAGGUAACGGCUUACCAAGGCAACGAUGCAUAGCCGACCUGAGAGGGUGAUCGGCCACACUGGAACUGAGACACGGUCCAGACUCCUACGGGAGGCGGCAGUAGGGAAUCUUCCGCAAUGGGCGAAAGCCUGACGGAGCAACGCCGCGUGAGUGAUGAAGGUCUUCGGAUCGUAAAACUCUGUUAUUAGGGAAGAACAUAUGUGUAAGUAACUGUGCACAUCUUGACGGUACCUAAUCAGAAAGCCACGGCUAACUACGUG
rnacentral:rRNA from 1 species